rnacentral:rRNA from 1 species
CACGUAGGGGGCGAGCGUUGUCCGGAUUCAUUGGGCGUAAAGAGUUCGUAGGCGGUUGCCUAAGUCUGGUGUUAAAGACCGAAGCUCAACUUCGGCAUGGCAUUGGAAACUGGGCGGCUAGAGUGCGGUAGAGGUCUCGGGAAUUCCAGGUGUAGCGGUGAAAUGCGUAGAUAUCUGGAGGAACACCGGUGGCGAAGGCGGCAUCCUGGACCGGCAUUGACGCUGAGGCGCGAAAGCCAGGGGAGCAAACGGG